rnacentral:rRNA from 1 species
UGGGAUUAGAUACCCCACUAUGCCCUGCCGUAAACUUAGAUAUUUUAUUACAACAAAUAUCCGCCUGGGGACUACGAGCGCCAGCUUAAAACCCAAAGGACUUGGCGGUGCUUCAGACCCCCCUAGAGGAGCCUGUUCUAGAACCGAUAACCCCCGUUCAACCUCACUACUCCUUGCUCUUCCCGCCUAUAUACCACCGUCGCCAGCUUACCCUGUGAAGGCAUCGCAGUAAGCAAGAUGGGCAAUGCCCAAAACGUCAGGUCGAGGUGUAGCGUACGAAGUAGGAAGAAAUGGGCUACAUUAUCUGAAGCAGAUUAUUCACGGAAAGUCACCUGAAAACGCUGACUCGAAGGUGGAUUUAGCAGUAAGGAGAGAAUAGA